CUGUUUUCCAUCUUGUGCACUAAAACUCACACAUGAGGAAGUGGUUGGCUGCACAAACUCUUUUGUCAUACUGACAGACAUUUCGAGGGGCAAAACUGUGUAUAAGAUGAGUUUGUCACGCAGGACUCUUGAUUCUCUGCUCUCAUUGCUAGAGAGUGAUUCACUUCACACUGAAUGAGAUUACUCCUAAAAUUGAGGACGUUAAAUGUAAAUGUACGUUCCAAAUUGGAGACAGGCCCGACAAUCAGAUGACAGUGAAGACACAGACAAGGAUUAAAGAAUAGUGACAUUCUUCAGGAAAACUGGACACAGCAAAGCUCUCCUUGUGACGACUGACGGCAUGAACUAGAAACCCAGCUAACUGCUCCUCCAGAAGCUCCACGACAGCUUUGGCAUCUCCCUUCCUCGCAGGACCUUCCAUCAUCUGUUUUAUGCUCUCAUUGGGCACAGGCUGAGGGGCGCUGCAGAACGAGACCACCAGGUUUACGUCAUUUCCUUGAGACACUUCAAAAUAACUCUGUCCGGCCACACACUGAAAGUUUUGUCCAGCUCUCAAGGUUCUAAUUUUGCCCAAGUUACUAAUGACUCUGAUGGACCAGCUCACCCAGUCGUACUUCUUCACCAGGAAGUCCAGCAGUUCCUUGGCCAUUUCCUGGAGGUUCCCAUCCUCUCUUUCCUUUACAAGCCUCUUGAUGUCCAGUUCAGCUUGCUCUGGAAAUGACUGUACGCAUUUCUCUAUCGUUUCCUUCAUUUUCAUCUCAAUUUCUUGGAUUUUCGCGCUCCAAUCUUGAAUCUUCUCUUGCUCAGCCUCUUCGCCCUGAGUAAGGAAACAAUAUCCUAGCAGAGCGAUUAUUCCCAGGCAGAGCAGCUCCUUCAGCCUGACGCAGAAGUCUUCCAGGACCCGUCUGUUUCUGGCCUCGUAUUGUUCCACAACAUCCAGGAUUGGCUCCCCAAAAGUGCUGUUCCCCAUCACAGCAUCAUAAAGCAUGUAGAGGUUCUUCUCUCCUCCUGUUUUGGGAAAAUGCUGCAAGAAUAAGCGUUUUCUCACCUCUUUGUACUCCGGUUUGGCCUCCAGAAUGUCAAUGUAUUUUCUAAACUGGUUGCAUAUAUUUUCCUCCACUGUAAAGAACUGAGAAUCCAAGCGUCCCUUUUUAAUCUCGCAGUUGAUGUCUUCUAUUUGCGAUGAGAGGACAUCCAAUUUGCUCCUCACAACUAGAAAUUGAUCUUUGACGUAUGUGAUCUCCUUGCUCUCCACAUUGUCCAAGACCAGCCUCAAAACUGGUGCAGAAGCUUCAAACAGAGGACACAUCUGUCCAACAGCGCUGGCCAGCACCUCGGCUCCUCUCUCAAACAUCUCCAUUACUGCUUCAAUCGCCUCCUUCUUCUGGGCUACAACCCUCUCUAGUGGAUUGGACAUUUCUAAAAACAAACAAAAAGCAAUUACAAAAAAGAUGCCUUUCUUUCUUUUACUAAGCUAGAUACAACAUUUCUUUACACAGUGUUGCAUAAUGUAAAAGCGGUUGCAAACAUUUUAAUUGAUCAGAGGUUGUUCUUUCAUAGCUAAGAACAGGUUGUUUGUGUGUGUCCCUUUAAAUGCAAAUGAGCUGCUGCUCUCUACCGCUUUCCAGAAGAGGGCGGAGCUUUAACAACUCGCGCUUUGGUUGCUCAACAACAACAAAGCUGGAGAAUCUCGAGCAGCCAAAAUGACGAUUGUCAGUAAUGGCGUUCAAACCGGAGUCGGACACUUAUGGAGAGUGUCCGAAAUAGUCGUUUUUUUUUUUUUGUUUGUUUUUUUUUUGCUGCACACACAAACGGUAUUCUUGUCGCUUCAUAACAUUAAGGUCAUGUGGACUAUUUUAACGAUGCCUUUGCUACUUUUCUGGACUUUGAAUGUGGUACUUACCUUGCUUUUUCAUGGGGGAUCAGAAACCUCUCGGAUUUCAUCAAAAAUAUGUUAAUUUGAGUUCCGAAGAUAAACAAAAGUCUUACGGGUUUGGAACAACAUGAGAGUGAGUAAAUAAUGUCAAAAUAUAAACAGAAAAAGCGAAGCAAAGUCACUCAUUCUUCUGGGAGAAGACUCAUAAAUGAAUAUUAGAAAAGCUGUCGUACUUCAGACAAUACAGCCAAAUAUAUGGGAGUGACAAAAAAAGCUGAAGUGCAUUUGUUCAGCUUUAUCAUAAUGAUGUUUUAUAUAAUUAUACAAUAUUUUCUUCUCAUAAAUCAUCUUUUUAAAAUCUAAAUGAGUACAAGUGUUUUACAUCACAGCCAAAAGCAUAAAGUAUGCAUGAAAGCCUUAUCACGUUGCUAAUCUUACAAGGAUAGCUAAUUGUGCCAUCAGCAUUUUUUUUUCUAUUUUAAAUCUGCAUGCAUGUUAAUAAGCAAAUCAUGUAAAAUCAAGUCCAGACCCAUUUUAAACCUCUAAAUAAUCACAUUCAGAGCAAAAAUUGCGACUUGCGCUUAAGAAUCAUGUUGCGUAUAUGGCACCACUGAAUGUGCAUCUUCUGUUCCGUAAAGGACACACCUCGAAAAGCGUUUUAAAGCGCAGUCUUGCUCAUAAGUGUCCUACAUGCGCAUCACAGCAUUAACCAGAGCAAAAAAAGAUUUCAAACAGGUUUCUCACGUCUGGCAGGUCGAAGAGCUUCUGUCCGAAUUACGUGUCCGAAAUUCAGGUUUCCCUCAGAUAUUGGCUCGAGGAGGAUAUUUGUGAUGAUCUAAGUGAGUGUGAAAUGAACAGAGAGACAGGGCGCGCGCUCGAGAGAGAGAGAGUUGCGCGCGCUGAGGAUGCGUUAGGAUAUUUUUGGUUUGGAAAGCCCUUGGCAACAGUCGGAUAAAUGUCUCAUUUUUGACGUGCUUGGCUGUACCUUGCGUUUUAUUCAUAUUUUGACAACAGAUAGAAGAGUUUUGUGUUGUUUCCAGAGAGAACUAGCGCGCAAUGAUUGUUCAUCAAGAGGAAUAUUGCGCGCAAUGCGCAGCAUGGAGCAGCUCCAGUGGAUCACAAGAAACAUGCGCAGAUAUUUUCCACACAAGGAUGGCAGAAUCACGUGUCCAUAUGAUUUGACGCAAGAGUCUUUGCAAUCGUUUCUGGCUGAUGACGUGAGAUGACGCGGACCAAGACUAAAGAUCUGUCUUCUGUGAUGUCACACGGGCAUUGCCUGUCUGUCAAAUUGGCUACUUCCCUUGGACAAGCAGCCAAGGGAUCAGGACAGAACAAUUGCUGACCAUCUUUAACAAGCCAAAGCACAACAAUUCAACAUCUUCCUGUGUUUUCCCAACCAAUAAGAAGUAGAAGCCACAUUGGUAAGUCUUACAACCCUCCCAGUCUGUUCAGCCAUUAUAUUUCUAGGUUUUUAACAUGCAAAUUAAAAGAUUGUAUAGCUGUUCAUAUGUUGUUAUAUAGGCCUAUAAUAUGUUAUCUCAGGACGUCUGUGGUCCUUAGGUAGACCAUGAUUGUGAUUUCAUCCUGUUAUUGUCUUUAACUGGGUGAACUGACGGUGUUACAACACUCAUCAGUAGCGGUGUCUGUACUUAAACAUGCUUAGAUACAAAAACCGAAUCAACUAAAAUGACAAAAACGCUUACCGGCGCCGUGCAAAAACUGAAGGGAGAAUGCGGCAAAGCUGAUAGCAGCGGAUGGGAUGUUUUGAUAAAACUGAGAAAAAUUACAAUGCAUUAAACUACCCAAGUCUUAUGGCGAACACAAUCCAAUAACAAUCGAGUGAAGGAUUAUUUUCAGACAGGCAUCUGUUAACUGGCCGACGCUGUGUGUUUUCAUCACUGACAGGUGUACACGGCCUAAGAAUCAGCUAACAGAUCUAAUGUGAAAUAUCGCAACAUCGCCUGACAACAGAUUACUGAUUCUGAUAUGAUGCCAGGAACUGAGACAACAUAUGAAGGUACGAUGAAAACAAAAAUGUCAAACGUAGACUCACAGUCAGUCUUGAUGUUCAUGGAUUGCUUUCAGAGAUUUUGUAUACGCGUCGCGUCCGUCAGUCAUUUAGACAGACCUCAGCACAGUGUGCGUUUAAAGUCGUAUUCUAUAAUAUUUAUAGCCUAUAACGAAUUGGCUGUAUUUUUAUAUUAAAUAUAGACAUUUGUAUACUAAUGUCAGAAAUGAAUAAUAAAUAUUAGACAUUAAUUUAAAAAUCCGACCUCAAGUCUAGACAAGCCUGUUGAUUUAAAAGUCUUGCAUGAAAGAUUAUUUUACUAUUUUAUUAUAGGCCUACAUUUGAAAUGGUGAUUACAUUUGUUUGAGUUGUUCUUUUCUUUCUUUUGUUUUGUGUUUUCAUUUAAUGGAACUCAAGAAGGUUUCUUCAAGGUAUGUUUUUUUGUUUUGUUUUGUAGCUUCCUUUAUUACAAAAUGAACAAUAUUUUUUGAGCAACUUCAAUAAUUUACACAUAUAGACAAACAUGCCUUCUUUGACCUAAUCUGAAAUGCAGAUUACCACAUAAAAGAUCUGUAUAUUAAGAGUAAGAGUGGCUGAAAUGUAGGUUUCUUCUUUCUGUAAAGUUCAAGUCCAACAGUUUAUUAAAGGGGUGGUUCAAUGCGAUUUCACUUUUUUAACUUUAGUUAGUGUAUAAAGUUGCUGCUUGAGCAUAAACAACAUCUGCAAAGUUACAGCGCUGAAAGUUCAAUGCAAA